rnacentral:rRNA from 1 species
GUGAAAGGCUAAUCAAACUCAGAGAUAGCUGGUUUUCUGCGAAAUCUAUUUAAGUAGAGCGUUUAAAAACUUUAUUUUGGGGUAGAGCACUCGAUAAAUGAUGGGAGCGUAAAGUUUUACUGAAUUUAAUGAAACUACGAAUACAAAGUAAAAGAUAUUAAACAGACAGACUUUGAGUGCUAAGAUUCAUAGUCAAGAGGGAAACAGCCCAGAUUAUUCGUUAAGGUCCUUAAAAAUAAUUAAGUGAAAAAAUUGUAAAAAAUUAAAGACAAUCGGUAGGUAGGCUUGGAAGCAGCCAUCCUUUAAAGAA